rnacentral:rRNA from 1 species
GACGAACGCUGGCGGCGUGCUUAACACAUGCAAGUCGAACGGAAAGGCCCUGCUUUUGUGGGUUGCUCGAGUGGCGAACGGGUGAGUAACACGUGAGUAACCUGCCCUUGACUUUGUGAUAACUUCUGGAAACUGGGGCUAAUACCGGAUAGGAGCUCCUGCUGCAUGUUGGGGGUUGGAAAGUUUCGGCGGUUGGGGAUGGACUCGCGGCUUAUCAGCUUGUUGGUGGGGUAGUGGCUUACCAAGGCUUUGACGGGUAGCCGGCCUGAGAGGGUGACCGGCCACAUUGGGACUGAGGUACGGCACAGACUGCUACGGGAGGCAGCAGUGGGGAAUAUUGCAGAAUGGGCGGAAGCCUGAUGCAGCAACGCCGCGUGCGGGAUGACGGCCUUCGGGUUGUAAACCGCUUUCGCCUGUGACGAAGCGUGAGUGACGGUAAUGGGUAAAGAAGCACCGGCUAACUACGUG